CCCCCCGACGCCGCGACCUUCUCCCCCUUGCGCCCGACGCCUCCAAGCCCUAACCGCCGGAGCACUAACCGCCGGCCGCGGCGGUUUCUUCUUCCCCUCUGCGUACAAUAGCCCUCGGCUAAGGGUUUCACCUCUUCCCCUCGCCACUGCCCGUCACCCUAGCCGUGAGAUCCCGAUCACUGGCCGCCGGCUCUCGGUCCCCGAUCGCGACCCCGCCGAUCUCCCUUUUGCCCUAGCAUCUCCACCGGCCGCCUCCUCGGUGUCGAGAUUCUUCUUCUCCUCUUCCGAGCGCCGACAGCCGACCAAGCUCCCUUGCCCUAAAUCUGCCGACCCAGCACCGCCAUUUCUUGACCUAGCCAGUCAUUAGAAAGCUUGCUGCCAUUGUUGACGAAGCCUCAGCCCUAGCACGGUUGCCGUGAGCUCUAGUUGAGGUCGCAGGGUUCUGCCGAGCCCUAGUUUCCACUGCCGAGUUCCUUCUUCACCAAAUCCUUAUGCUGUUAGGAUUUGGGUUUUUGGCGGUGUACACUGUCAGCCAUUUCUCCGGCCACAGAAGGUCACCAGCAGCUAGUUGUGAGGGGUGUUUCAGUUAGACACAAGGAACUGCCACCGUAGAGUUGCCCCUGUUCCGGCAGCCCUCAUUUCAGCAGUAAACGAUUAGCAGCAAUCAGUGGCUGUGAUUUGAGGGUUUUGACGCGAGACGAGUAUCUCGACGUUGGCUUUGGACCGGAUACGAUCCUUUCUUU